GAUAUCUGAAAUAUAUAUGAAAAGAUCCACCAGGGCCCAGGAAAAAUAUGCCCUCGUAAAAGUAAAAGAAUGUCCCUGCUAUUUAAAAGAAGAUCUGCACUAAUAGAAGGAGGCCGAGGAGAAGCAGAAUAAGCAAAGUAAACGCCCGAAAAAUAAGAACAUAACAUCUUCAACAUUCCGUAGCUACUCAUUCAGAAAAUCAGAAGCACCUGAACUAACAACAGAAAAAGUGUCCUGAAAUAGAAUCACACCACGAGAUGGUGGCUGACAUGACCUGCAACACAUAAGAAAAUAAGCAUCCAGGGAAGAUAGGCAGGCAGGCCAAGCAACUAAAUUAGAACGCAUACACCCAUUUCUUCCACAGAGCGAUGCCUGUAAUACCUUUAUUUUUUUUCAUUACCAAAUGUGAGAACGCAGGGUUAUUUUUUCAUUAACAAAUGUGAGAAUGCAGGGCGGAGAAGGAUGAGGAGGCGGCGACGGAAGCUCUAUUACCUCACACAUCCAUUCGAAGUAAUCACCUGGAGACGAAAGAGCAUAUUAGGAUCUAGGAAUUAACAUAACCUCCAUUGCUUUGUUCAUACACACUCAAUUCUGAAAAAAGGAAAACAUCAGCUUCAGCAGCAAACAAAUAGAAUCUGAAAAUUGUGUAUAUAUACUGAGAAAAGAAAAAUAGGAAUGCAAACUGUCCUAUUACUCCCACUUACUCCCACAUGAGAAGAGCCAAAACUAUUUUCAAGCAGUAUUAUAAGCUAGCUUUAGAUUUUAUUCCAUAGUAAUCAGAACAGUUUUGCAAGGUAGCUCUAGAUUUUAUAAAAUUCAAAUAAGAAGCACAUGCACACAUGAUUGUACAACUGAUGCAUCACCCUCUUCUUGGAAUAGCCCACGGCUGAUACAUAUAGAUGAAAAUUCCAUCCAAACAUGCUAGUGUUUUUAGGCCAUUAAAUGGAGGGUGAUGCAUAUUUUGUGUGUGAAGUCCCUAUUGACUCACACAACAAACAUUGGUGUUUUACCAGGCCCACUAUUUUAAAAUUUCAGUAAACAAAACCCAUAACCCAAUAUUAAUAGAGGGAUUUUCUCCUAAGCAUACAGACUGCUAAUUAUGUUUGCUGCCCCACCUGAACUACCACACCUUGAAUCCUGCAACCUGAAUGAUCAGAACCUCCAACCUAAAAACAGUGGAAUGAUUGCUAUUUCUGGUAAAGUAGAUAAUCAAAUUAACCACUACAGAAAAAUUAAGAACAACCAACCUGAACUAUUGCAUGAAAGAUAAAGCAGUCUCUAUUCUUUAUUCUUUGUGAGUUGAGUGACCCCUUCCAGAGGAAAUGGCCAAGUUGUCCAUAAAAUGGGGCACUCAAAAAUGCAGACUUCCCUCUUAAAUGUUGCAACAGUAUAGCUGACGACAUUCAACAAUGAUUAAAAUAAUUUAUGAUUCUGUGUACAUAAAGCAGUACCUACAAAAUCCUUGUCUAGAGGCAAAAGAAAUAUUUUAGCGCUAGAAGCAGGAAAGAGAGCUACAAAAAGCACACAGUUUUGACAAUUUCAGCUACCAAUUUUUAGAAAAAGAAAUCAAUGGAACGUUUUAUUGUGGAUUGGCUAAUUAUCUCCUUUUCAGCAAUUUUACCUACAAUUUUUUUUUUGUUACCUACAAAUUUUUAGCAAAACAGAGAUAAACUCCACAAUAUGAAGUAGGAGCAAGACGCGGCUAAACGAUUCUGGAACCUCACCUUACAAAUUGAUGGAACCGACGCCUCACGACCCAUCAAAGCACCAGGACAUGCAAAGAAAAAAAUAAUGCUUCAGCC
rnacentral:lncRNA from 1 species